rnacentral:rRNA from 1 species
GAUCGGGUACCUUUUGUAGAAUGGUCCGGCGAGUGAAUGUAACUGGCAAGGUUAAGCACUUAAGGUGUGAAGCCGUAGCGAGAGCGAGUCUGAAAAGGGCGCAUGAAGUCAGUUGUAUUCGACCCGAAACCGGGUGACCUACCCAUGUCCAGGCUGAAGUGCAGGUAAAACUUCAUGGAGGGCCGAACCGACUCCCGUUGAAAUGGUAGCGGAUGAGGUGUGGGUAGCGGAGAAAUUCCAAUCGAACCCGGAGAUAGCUGGUUCUCUCCGAAAUAGCUUUAGGGCUAGCCUUGGAAUAGAUUACUGGAGGUAAAGCACUGAAUUGGCUAGGGGCCGAGAGGUUACUGAACCUUAUCAAACUAAGAAUGCCAGAUAAUCGUUUUCCAGGAGUCAGACAGUGGGAGAUAAGUUUCAUUGUCAAAAGGGAAACAGCCCAGACCUACAGCUAAGGUCCCAAAGUAUAGUUAAGUGGAAAAGGAUGUGGAAUUGCAUAGACAACCAGGAUGUUGGCUUAGAAGCAGCCACUCAUUAAAAGAGUGCGUAAUAGCUCACUGGUCGAGUGAUUCUGCGCCGAAAAUUUAACGGGGCUAAACUAUACACCGAAGCUUAGGAUACCGCAAGGUAUGGUAGGAGAGCGUUCUGUACGGAGUGAAGUCGUAGCGAAAGCGGCGGUGGACUGUACAGAAGUGAGAAUGCCGGAAUAAGUAGCGAGAAUUAAGUGAGAAUCUUAAUGGCCGAAAGUCUAAGGUUUUUGGAGGAAGGUUCGUCCGCUCCAAGUAAGUCGGGAGCUAAGGUCAGGCCGAAAGGCGUAGCCGAUGCACAAACGGUUGAUAUUCCGUUACCGUCUACAAUUUAAACAAGGGGACACAUACAAAGCGUUUAACCCGGGCGAUGGUUGACCCGGGCGCAAGGGACUGAAAUAAGAGUAGGGAAGUAAAUGUGGCGUAUGGCGAGAAAAGCCUUGUGAAUAGAAGUAGAUGCCCGUACCGCAAACCGACACAGGUGGACAGGAAGAGAAUUCUAAGGCCAGCGGGAGAAGGGUAGUUAAGGAACUCGGCAAAUUGACUCCGUAACUUCGGAAUAAGGAGUGCUCGAAAGAGCCGCAGAGAAUAGGCCCAGGCGACUGUUUAGCAAAAACACAGGUCUCUGCCAAAUCGAAAGAUGAAGUAUAGGGGCUGACACCUGCCCGGUGCCGGAAGGUUAAGAGGAGGAGUGCAAGCUCCGAAUUGAAGCCCCGGUAAACGGCGGCCGUAACUAUAACGGUCCUAAGGUAGCGAAAUUCCUUGUCGGGUAAGUUCCGACCCGCACGAAUGGUGUAACGAUCUGGGCACUGUCUCAACUACCCACCCGGCGAAAUUGUAGUACCGGUGAAGAUGCCGGUUACCUGCGGCAAGACGGAAAGACCCCAUGGAGCUUUACUGUAGCCUGAUAUUGGGUUUCGGAAAUCUAUGUACAGGAUAGGCGGGAGACUGGGAAGUAUGAGCGUCAGCUUAUACGGAGUCAUUGUUGGGAUACCGCCCUUAGGUUUCUGGAAUUCUAACCUGCGACCGUGAAUCCGGUCGGGGGACAUUGUCAGGUGGGCAGUUUGACUGGGGCGGUCGCCUCCGAAAAGGUAACGGAGGCGCUCAAAGGUUGGCUCAGCACGGACGGAAACCGUGCCUCUGAGUGUAAACGCAAAAGCCAGCCUAACUGCGAGGAUGACGGUCCGAGCAGUAACGAAAGUUGGAGUUAGUGAUCCGGCGGUAUGUGAAUGGAAAUGCCGUCGCUCAACGGAUAAAAGCUACCCUGGGGAUAACAGGCUGAUCUCCCCCAAGAGUCCACAUCGACGGGGA